rnacentral:rRNA from 1 species
GAUGAACGCUGGCGGCGUGCCUAAUACAUGCAAGUCGAGCGAACGGACGAGAAGCUUUCUUCUCUGAUGUUAGCGGCGGACGGGUGAGUAAUACGUGGAUAACCUACCUAUAAGACUGGGAUAACUUCGGGAAACCGGAGCUAAUACCGGAUAAUAUUUUGAACCGCAUGGUUCAAAAGUGAAAGACGGUCUUGCUGUCACUUAUAGAUGGAACCGCGCUGCAUUAGCUAGUUGGUAAGGUAACGGCUUACCAAGGCAACGAUGCAUAGCCGACCUGAGAGGGUGAUCGGCCACACUGGAACUGAGACACGGUCCAGACUCCUACGGGAGGCAGCAGUAGGGAAUCUUCCGCAAUGGGCGAAAGCCUGACGGAGCAACGCCGCGUGAGUGAUGAAGGUCUUCGGAUCGUAAAACUCUGUUAUUAGGGAAGAACAUAUGUGUAAGUAACUGUGCACAUCUUGACGGUACCUAAUGAGAAAGCCACGGCUAACUACGUG